rnacentral:rRNA from 1 species
UGGGGAAUUGUUCGCAAUGGGCGCAAGCCUGACGACGCAACGCCGCGUGGAGGAUGAAGAAUUUCGGUUCGUAAACUCCUGUCGAGCGGGACGAAAGAUGCGCGGGUUAAUACCCCGUGCAAGUGACGGUACCGCUAAAGGAAGCCCCGGCUAACCCCGUGCCAGCAGCCGCGGUAAUACGGGGGGGGCAAGCGUUGUUCGGAAUUACUGGGCGUAAAGGGCGCGUAGGCGGUUUGUUUAGUCAGGCGUGAAAGCUCUGGGCUUAACCUGGGAUGUGCGCUUGAUACUGGCAGGCUUGAGUGUGGGAGAGGUUGGUGGAAUUCCCAGUGUAGAGGUGAAAUUCGUAGAUAUUGGGAAGAACACCGGUGGCGAAGGCGGCCAACUGGACCACAACUGACGCUGAGGCGCGAAAGCGUGGGGAGCAAA